rnacentral:rRNA from 1 species
UGAGCAACCUACCCUUGACUCUGGAAUAACAGCUGGAAACAGCUGCUAAUACCGGAUAUGACCUCUUUAGACAUCUGAUGAGGUGGAAAGCUCCGGCGGUCAGGGAUGGGCUCGCGGCCUAUCAGCUAGUUGGUGAGGUAACGGCUCACCAAGGCUUCGACGGGUAGCCGGCCUGAGAGGGCGACCGGCCACACUGGGACUGAGAUACGGCCCAGACUCCGUAGGAGG